GGCGAACUUUUUUCUCGCCCCUAAUUGUUCUUCUAUAUAGUUCUAGAGUACUAUUCUAUUUCAUUCAAUUUUGUGCUUUUGGAAAUAAAAUUGGAUAUUUUAUUUGGAAAUCUUAUUCCAUUAAAUAAAAUGCCGAAUAGAACAUUGCAAAGUGAGGAAGAGCGUGCACAAAUUAAUGCAGAUAGAAGAGAUCGAUAUGCACGAAAUCGAAACUCACCUAAUCGAUCUCUUGAUAGGCAGCCACCUCGAAACCGGCCAAUGCGAGCGGGAGUUCGUGUUUUGCAGCAAACGCUCCUUGCUGCUUUUAAUUACGAUAGUGCGAUUGAUUACAGUGCAUAUGGCUGUAUUGGUGGAAUGACGGUGAGAUGUGCACAUUGUGGUGCAACCAAAUUUCCAAAUAAAACAGAUGGCAUGAGCUGUGCUAACGGCAAAGUGAAAUUGCCAACAUUUGAAUCUCCACCUGAUCCACUACGUUCGCUGAUUUUUGGAAUGGUAUCAACGUCGACACAUUUUUUGUCUCAUAUUCAAGAAUACAAUGCAUCAUUUCAAAUGACUUUUUUUGGUGCGACAAAAAUUGUAAGAGACAAUUUUAUGCCGACGUUCAAGAUUCAGGGUCAGAUUUACCACCGCGCUGGCUCAUUAUUCCCAUAUCCUGAUACCGACCAUCAGUUCUUACAAAUCUAUUUCGUUGGAAAUGAAAAUCGCGAAUUGGAUCGGCGAUGUACAAUUGCUUCGAGGGCAAGGCGACAAUUGUUUCUGACCUUCAAACAUUUUUUCAUCCACACAAUGAAUUAGUUCGAGUAUUCAAAAUCGCUCUCGAUCGUAUGCCAUCGGAUAAUCACAAAAUCAUCAUAAAAGCUGAUAGCACACCCAUCGGAGAGCAUGCAAGACGAUUUAAUGCACCGAAAACCGAUGAUGUGGCUAUUGUAAUUGUUGGGGACCAGUUUCAAUCUCGCGACAUCGUGCUACAUCGAAGAGAUGAGCAAUUACAGCGUGUUUCAGAGCUUCACCGCAGCUAUGAUGCAUUACAAUAUCCAUUAUUGUACUGGAAAGGUGAUGACGCCUAGAAUAUCAAUAUACCAAUGAUAGAUCCACAAACCGGCAGAGUAUAAUAUAAAUUUAAUAUGCAUUCAUUUUAACACAAGAAGACAUUUGAAUUUUUUUAAUAAUGCAUUCAUUACAGCUCGUGACAAGAGUUCAAGAGUUGGCA